GGCCAUAUCACGUUGAAACGCCGCUUCUCAUAUGAUCACCGAAGUUAAGCAACCUCGAGUCUGGUCACUACCUAAAUAGUUGACCGCUUGGGAAUAUCAGAAGCUGUAAG